rnacentral:rRNA from 1 species
AUGAACGCUGGCGGCGUGCCUAAUACAUGCAAGUCGAGCGAACAGACGAGGAGCUUGCUCCUCUGACGUUAGCGGCGGACGGGUGAGUAACACGUGGAUAACCUACCUAUAAGACUGGGAUAACUUCGGGAAACCGGAGCUAAUACCGGAUAAUAUAUUGAACCGCAUGGUUCAAUAGUGAAAGACGGUUUUGCCGUCACUUAUAGAUGGAUCCGCGCCGCAUUAGCUAGUUGGUAAGGUAACGGCUUACCAAGGCGACGAUGCGUAGCCGACCUGAGAGGGGGAUCGGCCACACUGGAACUGAGACACGGUCCAGACUCCUACGGGAGGCAGCAGUAGGGAAUCUUCCGCAAUGGGCGAAAGCCUGACGGAGCAACGCCGCGUGAGUGAUGAAGGUCUUCGGAUCGUAAAACUCUGUUAUUAGGGAAGAACAAAUGUGUAAGUAACUAUGCACGUCUUGACGGUACCUAAUCAGAAAGCCACGGCUAACUACGUG